rnacentral:rRNA from 1 species
ACCUGACUGCUAUCGGAUUGAUACUAAGCCAUGCGAGUCUUUGCAGUAAUGCAAGGCAUACGGCUCAGUAACACGUAGUCAACUUACCCUAUGGACGAGGAUAAUCUCGGGAAACUGAGCAUAAUACUCGAUAGAUCAUAAUGCCUGGAAUGGUUUAUGGUUAAAAUGAUUCGUCGCCAUAGGAUGGGACUGCGGCCUAUCAGCUUGUUGGUGAGGUAAUGGCCCACCAAGGCGAUUACAGGUACGGGCUCUGAGAGGAGAAGCCCGGAGAUGGGUACUGAGACAAGGACCCAGGCCCUAUGGGGCGCAGCAGGCGAGAAAACUUUGCAAUGUGCGAAAGCACGACAAGGUUAAUCCGAGUGAUUUCUGCUAAAGAAAUCUUUUGCAAGUCAUAAAACCACUAGUGAAUAAGGGGUGGGCAAGUUCUGGUGUCAGCCGCCGCGGUAAAACCAGCACCUCAAGUGGUCAGGAGGAUUAUUGGGCCUAAAGCAUCCGUAGCCGGCUCUGUAAGUUUUCGGUUAAAUCCAUGUGCUCAACGCAUGGGCUGCCGAAAGUACUGCAAAGCUAGGGAGUGGGAGAGGUAGACGGUACUCGGUAGGAAGGGGUAAAAUCCUUUGAUCUAUCGAUGACCACCUGUGGCGAAGGCGGUCUACCAGAACACGUUCGACGGUGAGGGAUGAAAGCUGGGGGAGCAAACCGGAUUAGAUACCCGGGUAGUCCCAGCUGUAAACGAUGCAGACUCGAUGAUGCAUUGGCAUAUAGCCAGUGCAGUCUCGCAGGGAAGCCGUUAAGUCUGCCGCCUGGGAAGUACGUACGCAAGUAUGAAACUUAAAGGAAUUGGCGGGGGAGCACCACAGGGGUGAAG